rnacentral:rRNA from 1 species
UAGGGAAUCUUCCGCAAUGGGCGAAAGCCUGACGGAGCAACGCCGCGUGAGUGAUGAAGGUCUUCGGAUCGUAAAACUCUGUUAUUAGGGAAGAACAAAUGUGUAAGUAACUAUGCACGUCUUGACGGUACCUAAUCAGAAAGACACGGCUAACUACGUGCCAGCAGCCGCGGUAAUACGUAGGUGGCAAGCGUUAUCCGGAAUUAUUGGGCGUAAAGCGCGCGUAGGCGGUUUUUUAAGUCUGAUGUGAAAGCCCACGGCUCAACCGUGGAGGGUCAUUGGAAACUGGAAAACUUGAGUGUAGAAGAGGAAAGUGGAAUUCCAUGUGUAGCGGUGAAAUGCGCAGAGAUAUGGAGGAACACCAGUGGCGAAGGCGACUUUCUGGUCUGUAACUGACGCUGAUGUGCGAAAGCGUGGGGAUCAAACAGG